CACCCUUCCACCUGAAACGUUGUCUCAACCUUUAUUGUAAGAAGAGGUGAGCAAAAUUUCAGGUGUGGGGGUGA
rnacentral:pre_miRNA from 1 species